GCAGUCGUGGCUGAGUGGUUAGGCGAACACAUCCAUAAUGUGUUACGUGGGUUCGAAUCCCACCGACUGCC